rnacentral:pre_miRNA from 1 species
UAUUAAAAUUCUAAAAUGAGUGGAGAUGUUGAAAUUCAAAAAAAUAAUUUCGUUUAUUUUGAGAUUCAACUCCUCCUACUAAUUUGGGAUUUUCAAACU